AGGGAUCAUCCUGCUUCAGGGGUGGUAGGUUUGGAGAAUUCCAAGGGUCCACUCCCAGCAGCACUGUUGUCAUUCUUCUAGUUCAGUUUCUUGAAGAAUUUUUUCCUAUGGAACUUCCCUCUAUGGAAAGGAUGCUAAACUGUAGUAUCAAAAGCAAUGUUCCCUCAGCAGCGACCAGUAGAAAUCUGUAAGGAAAGUGGACAAGAGCAGGAUGAGUAAAAAAUGAAGCCAGUCAAUGAAGCAACGAGAUGCAGCAUAGCAGGUGGAACCUGGGACACUGGAACCUCCAUUAAUGCAGUAAAUUCAGGAGGUUUCAGUCACUCCAAAGAUGUCUUCCUCCUUCAGCCCCUGGAUUUCUGUCACCAUACAACAUCGUGGUAGACCACCAACUGAAAAAUUGCAGCUCAUAGAUUAAGAUCUGGCAGAAUUCUACCAUCCACCUCAGGAAUACAGUGCUCUACACUACACAGUGUGCAGCAAACCAUGUUUUUAUUUUAAAUAUAAUUUUC
rnacentral:lncRNA from 1 species